AUUGAACGCUGGCGGCAGGCCUAACACAUGCAAGUCGAGCGAGCGGCGGACGGGUGAGUAAUGUACGGGGACUGCCCGCUAGAGGGGGAUAACUACUGGUAACGGUAGCUACUACCGCAUACUAUCGGAUAACCCAUAUGGGAUUAGCUAGUGGGUGAGGUAAUGGCUCACCUAGGCGACGAUCCCUACCUGGUCUGAGAGGAUGAUCAGCAAAAUGGGGACGGAGACACGGCCAGGACUCCUACGGAGGAAGCAGUGGGGAAUAUUGCACAAUGGGGGCAAGCCUGAUGCAGCCAUGCCGCGGGUAUGAAGAAGGCCCUAGGGUUGUAAAGUACUUUCAGUCGGGAGGCGUUACCGACAGAAGAAGCACCGGCUAACUCCGUGCCAGCAGCCGCGGUAAUUC
rnacentral:rRNA from 1 species